rnacentral:tRNA from 1 species
ACGCCAGGUGCCCGGCGGUGCCUGCGCGCCCGUUCUCUUCCGCAGGUCGCGGGCGCUUGGCCCGUCGGGGCGCCCACGUUCUAUUGUGGCGGGCGCG